rnacentral:lncRNA from 1 species
UUCUCUUGCUCUAGAUGAUCCAUCAGUCUUGCAGAGUUGGCUCUAGUGUAGUACCAGUGAGUCAGCUUGUCUUCAAAAUAAAUAUAGAGCACAGAGUUAGACCACAGGACCAGAAGCCGGGAACAAAACCUGCUUAUGCAUAUGAUGCAUGCAAUGCUUGUGCAUAUGAUUUUUUUUUUUAUUUUCAAAGGAACUUUUAGGGUUUUAUUUACAAAUUUUGGAAAUAUUAACUGUUUAUCACAUAUGGAAAUAUCUCAUCAAAUUAUAUCAGGGAAAAGAAGUACAACAUUGUCAAUCGUAUACAAGAGGAAAGGAAAAUAAUCAUCCUAUGGAUCCCUAGAAGCUCGG